rnacentral:rRNA from 1 species
GAUGAACGCUGGCGGCGUGCCUAAUACAUGCAAGUCGAGCGAACAGAUGAGGAGUUUGCGCCGCUGUCGUUAGCAGCGGACGGGUGAGUAACACGUGGAUAACCUACCUAUAUGACUGAGAUAACUUCGGGAAACCGGAGCUAAUACCGGAUAAUAUAUUGAACCGCAGGGUGCAAGAGUGAUAGAUGGUUUUGGUGUGACUUAUAGAUGGAUCCGCGCCGCAUUAGCUAGUUGGUAAGGUAACGGCCUACCAAGGCAACGAUGGGUAGCCGACGGCGGCGAGUGAUCGCCGACAUGGGAACGUGGACAGCGUCCAUACGCCUGCGGGAGGCAGCAGUAGGGAACGGGCGGCAAUGGGCGAAAGCCUUACGGAGCAACGGCGCGUGAGAGGUGACGGUCUCGGGAUCGUAAAACCCGGUUAUUAGGGAAGAACCAAUGUGUAAGUAACUAUGCCCGUCGUGACGGUACCUAAUCAGAAAGCCACGGCUAACUACGUG